GAAAAUAAACCUAUACAGGCUAAAAGAAACGGAACGAGGCGCGAGUACGCGGCGGACCAAUCUCCUUGCAUUGCCUUACUCGUUUUUGCUGGAUAAAUCUUCCCAAACACAAAUUUGAAAAACCCCCAGAAAACGAAGGGAGUGGAAAAAAUGGGGCGCGCAGUUCUCUCGCAAUUUCUCAUGCUUUCCAAUUCCACUCCUCGCCUCUCAUCUUCACUCAGGUCCUGUGGUGGACUUCGAAGUAAAUACUUGAAAAGACCUGGAUCAGUCUGUCAUAAUCGUGCUACAAACGGAGACCAUGGCGCUGGUUUCCGUUGCUGCUGCAGUGUCUCGCUCUCGCAGCCGGCCACUCCAGAGACUUCUUCGAGCUCGGUCAAGAAGAGAAUAGUGUCGGGAGUCCAGCCAACAGGAGCUAUCCACCUUGGGAAUUAUCUUGGAGCCAUAAAGCAUUGGAUUGCCCUUCAGAACUCCUAUGACACUCUCUUUUUCAUUGUGGACCUCCAUGCGAUUACGUUACCAUAUGAUACACAACAAUUAUCUAAGGCAACAAGGAAUACAGCAGCUAUUUAUUUGGCAUGUGGUGUAGACACCACAAAGGCUUCUGUUUUUGUGCAGUCACAUGUCCGUGCCCAUGUAGAAUUGAUGUGGCUACUGAGUUCUGCCACACCAAUUGGUUGGCUAAACAGAAUGAUUCAGUUUAAAGAGAAAUCUCGCAAGGCGGGAGAUGAAAAUGUUGGGGUUGCUCUAUUGACCUAUCCGGUUCUGAUGGCUUCUGAUAUUCUCUUGUAUCAGUCUGACUUUGUCCCAGUUGGUGAAGAUCAGAAGCAGCAUUUGGAGUUGACACGUGAGUUGGCUGAGCGUGUUAACUAUUUAUAUGGAGGAAGGAAGUGGAAAAAGCUGGGAGGGCGUGGUGGUGCUAUUUUUAAGGUUCCUGAGCCCCUAAUACCACCAGCUGGAGCACGAGUUAUGUCCCUCAGUGAUGGUCUUUCAAAGAUGUCCAAGUCUGCACCUUCUGAUCAGUCUCGAAUCAAUCUUCUUGACCCUAAAGAUGUGAUAGCAAACAAGAUAAAGCGUUGCAAGACUGACUCUUUCCCAGGCCUGGAAUUUGACAACCCUGAACGUCCUGAGUGCAACAAUCUUCUUUCAAUAUAUCAGAUAAUUUCAAGCAAGACGAAAGAGGAAGUUGCACAAGAAUGUCAAGAUAUGAAAUGGGGUUCAUUUAAAACCCUCCUAACAGAUGCAUUGGUUGAUCAUCUGCAUCCUAUCCAGGUUCUUAGCACCAUACACAGGGUGGUUUUUUGUUUUUAUAUUAUAUAAAGAAACUGGGUUAUGGUGCAUGAUAGGAACAUGUACAUGCUAUGCUGUUUUACAUAUAAUUUGUCUUUGUUUCACUUGUGCAUGUUAUUUUCCCAGUGGACUUUAGGUGUUUAUUUUUGUGUUAAUACUUAAUUCUAGAAAUAUAUGUGAACUUAAGAUUUAUCAUAUUAAAUGCUGGCUUGCAAAUAAUUCUAACCAUAACAGUUCAUAUAUUCGUGCGGAGGAAAUGUACAUUUAUGGAUGCUUUCUGUUGACUAAUAAGUUUUGCUUCUAAUCAUGGUAAUUUAGUACUAAAAUCUUGUUGCUGAUGUACUUGAAAUCUAGUGAGUCCUGGCUAUAUCUUAUUCCAGCUGUGUGGUCUACCUAGAAAUCAACCAUUUCUGCAAAAUGAUUAUUGUUGUGAAGCUGCCUACAGGAGCCUAACAAACAUAAAUUCUAGUCAGGUCCAUGUUGCUGCUUCAGUGUUGAAACCCCAUUGGUGCCUAGAUGGUUCGGUAUGAGGACAUUAUUUCUGAUCCAGCAUAUUUGGAUGGAGUCUUGGCAGAAGGGGCUGAGAAAGCUGCAGCUAUAGCGGAUGCUACUCUCAAUAAUGUCUACCAGGCAAUGGGAUUCUUG